AUCAACAGACUACAUGCUUAUUAAAACAAAUCAUAAGCAGCAAGCCAUGUUUGGGUGCAGUUAGGAGCUGUUACUUUGUGGUCUGAAGAAAAGUUGUAUGUUUAAAUCUGUGCAGGACCCAGCAUAUCUCCACUGAGGUCUCUUAACUGAGCCAAUCCUUCUUCCCCAUCCUCUGAGGAAAUGACAUCUUCACACAGAGGUGCGACAGGUUGAGGCUGGUAUGACAUAAUGCGAGUGAUAUGUCACCAAGAGACAGGGUUAAAUAUGUUUCCAGGCUUUCUUUAUGUCAAAGCAUCCUUUGUAUGAACAAGCCAAAGAAGAAAGAACUAAUCAGCACUGAAGACCAGAGAGCAAGGAAAUUAUUCAGCGCUCAAAGAAAUUCACCCUAGGCACACAUCAAAUUGCAUCUCACAUGCAGAAGAGAUUGGUGAACUCCGAUAGGUUCAGGAUAAGCACCUGACGUUCAGAUGCUUAUAUCUGAACUUUAUCUGAAUGAUCCAGAUUUCUUAGUUACAAAAUACAAGGCUGGGAAUUGCUAUUAUUGUUGUUGUUAUUAUUAUUGUUAUUACUUUCUAAAGCUCACAAAGCACUGUUAUAUGAAGUUUAGAAAUGCCCCUGUUUAGGAUGAAAUAACAUCAAUAUAUUACUCUAGGAAAGAAUACAUUUUUAAAUUUUAACAGUUAUGAGAUAUAUAUAUAUUUAAAACCUUUCAUAGACUGUCACAGCAUUUUUGUGUUUUUGCAAUUCUGCCAUUCAGAAGUAAAAAGGUGGCUUCAUAGUCCCAAAUAUCACUAUCUUUUCAUUUUUUUCUAAGACUAUAUUUAGAUUUAUAUAUAUAUAUAAAGGAGCACAUUUAAAGCCCAUAAAGGAUCUGUAAAAUAAAAUUACUAUCAGCUGAAAGGCCCUCUUUGCCUUCAACAAUAUCUGACAAAUGACUUCUCUUUUCCUUCAGGAGGUUUUGGUAACACUUAAGGAGAAAUCUGAGCAGUUCACUUUGGCAGGGGAAAGAAACUCAAUGGCACAGGCUCUGUGAAGUUUGAGCUUUAAACAAGUGUGGCACCAGCCAGGGAAAGAACAAUGGAGAGUGCGUGAACAACACAAACUGGGCUAGAAAAAUGUCGACUCAGUUCUUUUCUCCUCCCUUGCAGGAACCCCGACUCAAAGUCAGGUCCUGUUUGCUGGUACAGUGGGUGAGAAGGGAAAGUGUUUUCAAACACACAGUGCCCUGGGCUCUCAGCACCGCUGAUCAAAAUGGUCUCUGAGCUCCUUGGCUUCGGUGGACUUCAAUAAUCUGCAUCCAUGGGCUACCCUGUUCCUCUUCUGUUUCUGUAGACGUGACAAAGUCGCUGGUCAAUAGGGAGAAGACCAGUUCAGGCUGCCACAAUGAAAUACCAUAGACUGGGUGGCUUCAACAACCAAAGUGUACUCCUCACAGGUCUGGAGGCUGGGAAGUCCAAGAUCAAACAGCCAGCAUGGUUGAGUCUGGUGAGAACUCUCUUCUUGGCAUGCAGUCAGCCACUUUCUUGGUGUGUCCUCACAUGGCAGAGAGAAAGCCAGCUGUGGUUUCUUCUUCUUCCUCUUCUUCCUCUUCUUCCUCUUCUUCUUCUUCGGCAUCUAAUUCCAUCAUGGAAGCCUCACUCUCAUGACUUCACUCCCUGAAGGCCUCAAUUCCAUACUUUGGGGAAGUGCUUUGACAUACGAAUUUGGUGACAGGGCUCUAACACUCAGGCAAUAACAAGAGCUAUUUUGUUCUGCUCCCUUAUGACCCCUCUCCUAGAGCGACCUCACAGGGAAUUUGCAUACUUCACUUCUGACACUAGCCACAUGUAUCUGCUGGAGCUGCACCCCACUCUUUCUCUUUGCACCUACAAAAUUGGAAGUAAUACACUCGGAUGUUUGAAAUCUGAAACUCAGGUCUAAGUAUUUUUUUUUUCAACGUUUAUUUAUUUUUGGGACAGAGAGAGACAGAGCAUGAACGGGGGAGGGGCAGAGAGAGGGAGACACAGAAUCGGAAGCAG